UGGGGAAUAUUGCACAAUGGGCGCAAGCCUGAUGCAGCCAUGCCGCGUGUAUGAAGAAGGCCUUCGGGUUGUAAAGUACUUUCAGCGGGGAGGAAGGGAGUAAAGUUAAUACCUUUGCUCAUUGACGUUACCCGCAGAAGAAGCACCGGCUAACUCCGUGCCAGCAGCCGCGGUAAUACGGAGGGUGCAAGCGUUAAUCGGAAUUACUGGGCGUAAAGCGCACGCAGGCGGUUUGUUAAGUCAGAUGUGAAAUCCCCGGGCUCAACCUGGGAACUGCAUCUGAUACUGGCAAGCUUGAGUCUCGUAGAGGGGGGUAGAAUUCCAGGCGUAGCGGUGAAAUGCGUAGAGAUCUGGAGGAAUACCGGUGGCGAAGGCGUCCCCCUGGACAAAGACUGACGCUCAGGUGCGAAAGCGUGGGGAGCAAACAGG
rnacentral:rRNA from 1 species